GACGAACCGAGCGAACGUUAUUCGGAAUCACUGGGCUUAAAGGGCGCGUAGGCGGGCCGUCAAGUCGAGGGUGAAAGCCCCCAGCUCAACUGGGGAAGUGCCUCCGAUACUGGCGGCCUCGAGGGGGAUAGGGGCGUGCGGAACUUCCGGUGGAGCGGUGAAAUGCGUAGAUAUCGGAAGGAACACCGGUGGCGAAAGCGGCGCGCUGGAUCCCUUCUGACGCUGAGGCGCGAAAGCCAGGGGAGCAAACGGG
rnacentral:rRNA from 1 species